rnacentral:rRNA from 1 species
AGAGUUUGAUCCUGGCUCAGAGCGAACGUUAGCGGCAGGCUUAACACAUGCAAGUCGAGCGAGAAAGGGGCUUCGGCUCCGAGUAAAGCGGCGGACGGGUGCGUAACACGUGGAUAAUCUGCCUCGUGGCGGGGGACAACAGUCCGAAAGGACUGCUAAUACCGCAUGUCAGGUCGGAAACUCCGGUUUCUGACGAAAAAGAGGGCGUCCGCAAGGAGCUCUCACCACGAGAUGAGUCCGCGUCCCAUCAGCUAGUUGGCGGUGUAAUGGACCACCAAGGCUUAGACGGGUAGCUGGUCUGAGAGGAUGACCAGCCACACUGGGACUGAGACACGGCCCAGACUCCUACGGGAGGCAGCAGUGGGAAUAUUGGACAAUGGGCGAAAGCCUGAUCCAGCCAUGCCGCGUGAGUGAUGAAGGCCUGGUCGUAAGCUCUGUGGGGAGGGACGGAAAAA